UACGAAGGGGGCAAGCGUUGUCCGGAUUUACUGGGCGUAAAGAGCGCGCAGGCGGUCGUUCAAGUCGCGUGUGAAAGCCCCCGGCUCAACUGGGGAGGGUCACGCGAUACUGAUCGACUCGAAGGCAGGAGAGGGAAGUGGAAUUCCCGGUGUAGUGGUGAAAUGCGUAGAUAUCGGGAGGAACGCCAGUGGCGAAGGCGACUUCCUGGCCUGUUCUUGACGCUGAGGCGCGAAAGCUAGGGGAGCAAACGGG
rnacentral:rRNA from 1 species